rnacentral:rRNA from 1 species
GUGGGGAAUAUUGGACAAUGGGCGAAAGCCUGAUCCAGCCAUGCCGCGUGAGUGAUGAAGGCCUUAGGGUUGUAAAGCUCUUUCAGUAGGGAAGAUAAUGACGGUACCUACAGAAGAAGCCCCGGCUAACUUCGUGCCAGCAGCCGCGGUAAUACGAAGGGGGCUAGCGUUGUUCGGAUUUACUGGGCGUAAAGCGCACGUAGGCGGAGUGGUAAGUUAGAGGUGAAAUCCUGGAGCUCCACUCCAGAACUGCCUUUAAUACUGCCAGUCUAGAGUCCAGAAGAGGUGAGUGGAACUCCUAGUGUAGAGGUGGAAUUCGUAGAUAUUAGGAAGAACACCAGUGGCGAAGGCGGCUCACUGGUCUGGUACUGACGCUGAGGUGCGAAAGCGUGGGGAGCAAACAGGAUUAGAUACCCGGGUAGUCC